CGCAUCUGUGCAUGCAGCAUAUCAAUAAGCGGAGGAAAAGAAACUAACAAGGAUUCCCUCAGUAACGGCGAGUGAAGCGGGAAGAGCUCAAAUUUGAAAUCUUGAAAGGUCACCUUUCACGAAUUGUAGUUAAAGAAGUGUUUUCUGUUACGAUCGUAAUAUAAGUUCUUUGGAAUAGGACAUCACAGAGGGUGAGAAUCCCGUCUAUGAUUGCGAUUUGUAGCUUUGUGAUACACUUUCAAAGAGUCGGGUUGUUUGGGAAUGCAGCCCAAAACAGGGAGGUAAAUUUCUUCUAAGGCUAAAUAUUGGCGAGAGACCGAUAGCGAACAAGUACCGUGAGGGAAAGAUGAAAAGAACUUUGAAAAGAGAGUUAAAUAGUACGUGAAAUUGUCAAAAGGGAAGCGUUUAACACCAGUGUUGUUUUCUGAAAAUCAACCUCUGUUAGCUUUAUGCAUGUUUGUUUAGACCUAAUCAGCUAUCUUGCAUGUUCUAUUGUUUGCAGUGGUGCACUUUUCAGUUUACAGGUCAACAUCAGUUUUUUUUACCGUAAAAAAGUUAAAGAAAGGUAGCUCAUGGCUCCGGUCGUGAGUGUUAUAGUCUUUUUCCUAUGCGGUAGGAGAGACUGAGGUCUGCAGUGUAGGCUAUUUGGCUAGAUACUCAGGUGCUAUGUGAUACCAUUUCAUAAACAACUUGUUGAUUAUGUUUUGUCUAUUGCAUACUCGCUUGUACUAUCAUACCUACGCUUAGGAUGUUGAAGUCAUCGUAUCGCGC
rnacentral:rRNA from 1 species